rnacentral:rRNA from 1 species
UACGUAGGGUGCAAGCGUUAAUCGGAAUUACUGGGCGUAAAGCGUGCGCAGGCGGUUUUGUAAGUCUGUCGUGAAAUCCCCGGGCUCAACCUGGGAAUUGCGAUGGAGACUGCAAGGCUAGAAUCUGGCAGAGGGGGGUAGAAUUCCACGUGUAGCAGUGAAAUGUGUAGAGAUGUGGAGGAACACCGAUGGCGAAGGCAGCCCCCUGGGUCAAGAUUGACGCUCAGGCACGAAAGCGUGGGGAGCAAACAGG